AGCAGCAGCUCCUAACCUCUUCGUGUUCCUUUUUUGAAGACGAAGAGGUUAGGAGCUGCUGCUG
rnacentral:pre_miRNA from 1 species